ensembl:lincRNA
AUGACGUCAGUCAAUAUGCAGAAUUGUUCAACUUCUUUUAUCUUUGCAGAGCCACCUAGCGUAACUGAAAUGGAAGUUGGAAACCUUCAGUUGUUUGGAAGAAAUAAGCCCUGUAUAGACCAGGAAAUCAACUGAUGACUAGGAAAGGAUGGGAGAGACGAUAAGGUCUCAGUUCUCAUGUGGAGGAGUGGGAGACUGGAGAACUCCACAUCCAUUUGAAGUAAAAGAGCUGCAGAUUACCUUGAGAACUGGUG